CAUUAGAUGGCUGAGUUUAAGCAUAGGUCUCUUAAACCUCUCUACGGUAUACACCUCUAAUG
rnacentral:tRNA from 1 species